GAUCAUGGCUCAGGAUGAACGCUAGCUACAGGCUUAACACAUGCAAGUCGAUGGGCAGCAUGACGAUAGCUUGCUAUUGUUGAUGGCGACCGGCGCACGGGUGAGUAACGCGUAUCCAACCUUCCCAUAGCUAGGGAAUAACCUUGCGAAAGUAAGACUAAUGCCCUAUAACAUUCUUUGCAGACAUCUAAAGAGAAUUAAAGAUUUAUCGGCUAUGGAUGUGG
rnacentral:rRNA from 1 species